GUACAUCCAGAGAAUUUAGCAGAGAUGCUUUAGUGCCUUCGGGAACUCUGAGACAGGUGCUGCAUGGCUGUCGUCAGCUCGUGUUGUGAAAUGUUGGGUUAAGUCCCGNAACGAGCGCAACCCUUAUCCUUUGUUGCCAGCACGUAAUGGUGGGAACUCAAAGGAGACUGCCGGUGAUAAACCGGAGGAAGGUGGGGAUGACGUCAAGUCAUCAUGGCCCUUACGAGUAGGGCUACACACGUGCUACAAUGGCGCAUACAAAGAGAAGCGACCUCGCGAGAGCAAGCGGACCUCAUAAAGUGCGUCGUAGUCCGGAUUGGAGUCUGCAACUCGACUCCAUGAAGUCGGAAUCGCUAGUAAUCGUAAAUCAGAAUGUUACGGUGAAUACGUUCCCGGGCCUUGUACACACCGCCCGUCGCACCAUGGGAGUGGGUUGCAAAAGAAGUAGAUAGCUUAACCUUCGGGAGGGCGUUUACCACUUUGUGAUUCAUGACUGGGGUGAAGUCGUAACAAGGUAAGCGUAGUGCU
rnacentral:rRNA from 1 species